rnacentral:rRNA from 1 species
UAGGGUGCGAGCGUUGUCCGGAUUUAUUGGGCGUAAAGGGCUCGUAGGCGGUUGAUCGCGUCGGAAGUGGAAACUUGAUGCUUAACGUUGAGCGUGCUUUCGAUACGGGUUGACUUGAGGAAGGUAGGGGAGAAUGGAAUUCCUGGUGGAGCGGUGGAAUGCGCAGAUAUCAGGAGGAACACCAGUGGCGAAGGCGGUUCUCUGGACCUUUCCUGACGCUGAGGAGCGAAAGCGUGGGGAGCGAACAGGCUUAGAUACCCUGGUAGUCCACGCUGUAAACGGUGGGUACUAGGUGUGGGGUCCAUUCCACGGAUUCUGUGCCGUAGCUAACGCAUUAAGUACCCCGCCUGGGGAGUACGGCCGCAAGGCUAAAACUCAAAGGAAUUGACGGGGCCCCGCACAAGCGGCGGAGCGUGCGGAUUAAUUCGAUGCAACGCGAAGAACCUUACCUGGGUUUGACAUGGAUCGGGAGCUUCCAGAGAUGGUUGUGCCUCUUUUGGGGUCGGUUCACAGGUGGUGCAUGGCUGUCGUCAGCUCGUGUCGUGAGAUGUUGGGUUAAGUCCCGCAACGAGCGCAACCCUCGUCCACUGUUGCCAGCAAUUCGGUUGGGGACUCAGUGGAGACCGCCGGGGUCAACUCGGAGGAAGGUGGGGAUGACGUCAAGUCAUCAUGCCCCUUAUGUCCAGGGCUUCACGCAUGCUACAAUGGCCGGUACAGUGAGUUGCGACAUCGUAAGGUGGAGCGAAUCUCAAAAAGCCGGUCUCAGUUCGGAUUGGGGUCUGCAACUCGACCUCAUGAAGUCGGAGUCGCUAGUAAUCGCAGAUCAGCAACGCUGCGGUGAAUACGUUCCCGGGGCUU